GCGAACGGACGAGAAGCUUGCUUCUCUGAUGUUAGCGGCGGACGGGUGAGUAACACGUGGAUAACCUACCUAUAAGACUGGGAUAACUUCGGGAAACCGGAGCUAAUACCGGAUAAUAUUUUGAACCGCAUGAUUCAAAAGUGAAAGACGGUCUUGCUGUCACUUAUAGAUGGAUCCGCGCUGCAUUAGCUAGUUGGUAAGGUAACGGCUUACCAAGGCAACGAUGCAUAGCCGACCUGAGAGGGUGAUCGGCCACACUGGAACUGAGACACGGUCCAGACUCCUACGGGAGGCAGCAGUAGGGAAUCUUCCGCAAUGGGCGAAAGCCUGACGGGGCAACGCCGCGUGAGUGAUGAAGGCCUUCGGAUCGUAAAACUCUGUUAUUAGGGAAGAACAUAUGUGUAAGUAACUGUGCACAUCUUGGCGGUACCUAAUCAGAAAGCCACGGCUAACUACGUGCCAGCAGCCGCGGUAAUACGUAGGUGGCAAGCGUUAUCCGGAAUUAUUGGGCGUAAAGCGCGCGUAGGCGGUUUUUUAAGUCUGAUGUGAAAGCCCACGGCUCAACCGUGGAGGGUCAUUGGAAACUGGAAAACUUGAGUGCAGAAGAGGAAAGUGGAAUUCCAUGUGUAGCGGUGAAAUGCGCAGAGAUAUGGAGGAACACCAGUGGCGAAGGCGACUUUCUGGUCUGUAACUGACGCUGAUGUGCGAAAGCGUGGGGAUCAAACAGGAUUAGAUACCUGGUAGUCCACGCCGUAAACGAUGAGUGCUAAGUGUUAGGGGGUUUCCGCCCCUUAGUGCUGCAGCUAACGCAUUAAGCACUCCGCCUGGGGAGUACGA
rnacentral:rRNA from 1 species